rnacentral:rRNA from 1 species
GCAAGUCGAACGAUGAAGCCCUUCGGGGUGGAUUAGUGGCGAACGGGUGAGUAACACGUGGGCAAUCUGCCCUGCACUCUGGGACAAGCCCUGGAAACGGGGUCUAAUACCGGAUAUGACCAUCUUGGGCAUCCUUGAUGGUGUAAAGCUCCGGCGGUGCAGGAUGAGCCCGCGGCCUAUCAGCUUGUUGGUGAGGUAACGGCUCACCAAGGCGACGACGGGUAGCCGGCCUGAGAGGGCGACCGGCCACACUGGGACUGAGACACGGCCCAGACUCCUACGGGAGGCAGCAGUGGGGAAUAUUGCACAAUGGGCGAAAGCCUGAUGCAGCGACGCCGCGUGAGGGAUGACGGCCUUCGGGUUGUAAACCUCUUUCAGCAGGGAAGAAGCGAGAGUGACGGUACCUGCAGAAGAAGCGCCGGCUAACUACGUGCCAGCAGCCGCGGUAAUACGUAGGGCGCAAGCGUUGUCCGGAAUUAUUGGGCGUAAAGAGCUCGUAGGCGGCUUGUCGCGUCGGUUGUGAAAGCCCGGGGCUUAACCCCGGGUCUGCAGUCGAUACGGGCAGGCUAGAGUUCGGUAGGGGAGAUCGGAAUUCCUGGUGUAGCGGUGAAAUGCGCAGAUAUCAGGAGGAACACCGGUGGCGAAGGCGGAUCUCUGGGCCGAUACUGACGCUGAGGAGCGAAGC